rnacentral:lncRNA from 1 species
GGCCCCCGCUGGCCUCCCCCAGUAUCGCGGCUACUUCCCUAACACCACCUCCAGCCCCCUUUGCCCUUCCCUGUGUCUGCCCGUUUUCUUUCCCUUCCACUCUCCCUAGCUGUGGGCUAAGCUGAAGACAGGGGCAGAGAGACUGGAGAGAUGGUAGGCGUGCCUGAGAUAUUGGGGUGCUCCCCUGGAUGGUACUCUGGGGGGGUCUUGGAAGUGAAAAUUUGAAUUGUUAGGUUUUGGGGUUCCUGGAGGGGGCAAGAUAGCAGGUAGUGGCUGCAGGGCUGUCAUGGUACAAUUUUGGGGCAUUCUAUACUACACUUCAGGGAAAAGGACCUGAAGUUUUAAGAGGCUGUGGGGAGACCCCAGAUCUGACCCAUGCUCCCAUCGGCCCCCUCCCAGGUUUCCUGUGGCCAGGCAGAAAGCAGCGAGCCCAAUGCUGAGGACAGGACGUCCAAAGAUUACUACUUAGACUCCUAUGCCCAUUUCGGCAUCCAGAGAUGCUGAAGGACGAGGUUCGCACCCUCACAUAGCAACUCCGUGUUUCACAACCAGCACCUCUUCAAGGACAAGGUGGUGCUGGAUGUGGGCUCAGGCAGGGGCAUCCUCUGCACGUUCGCUGCCGAGGCUGAAGGGUCGUCAGGGAGGUGGACAUCUAUACUGUCAAGGUGGGAGACCGGAUGUUCACCUCCCGCUUCUGUCUGCAGGUGAAGCAGAAUGACUAGGUGCACGCCCUGGUGGCCUACUUCAAUAUCCAGUUAUAGAACUGAUAACAGGUGAGCUUUCUUGGGGGUCAUGUCCUCCACCAGAGAUUUCAAUGGAAUGAUCCCAUUUAGCCCCCACUACAAGCUCAUGGGGGUCUGUUAUUAUCCUUGUCUUGUGCGGGUGGAAAGUCUCCAUUGUGCAGAGUGUUGAAAUCAGAAUUUGUACAUGAAACCACAGUCCUGAAUCAUUCAUAUCCCAGGACCCUCUUCCCUUUCUCUGACUC